rnacentral:rRNA from 1 species
AUUGGUGAUUUUAAUGAGAUUAUAUUCUCGUCGGAAAAUGAGGAAGGAGCCCGUCGGCAAUACAGUUGGAUGCAAGCUUUUCAGGAUGCGCUUAUGGAUGGUUCCCUCAAGGAUAUUGGCUACCAUGGUGAUAAGUUCACCUUCUUCGGAGGAGGACUAAGGGAACGGCUCGACCGAGCGGUGUCAAAUGCAGACUGGAUGGAGAUGCACCCAUUAUGCAAUUUGAGUAACUUAAAAAUGGGCUAGUCGGAUCACAGACCUAUCUGCUUGGAUACUGAGUAUUUGGCACGUGUAGCUUUGCCAAGCCCUGGUGCCGGUCACAAGUUCGAAGCAAGAUGGCUAGCAGAAGAAGCAGUUGAGGAAGUGGCAAAAACUGCAUGGCUAAAGGUGGUUACUCGUGGGCUUUGUACUACGGCCAGCGAUAAACUUGCUACUGUCCAUAAAGAACUUCAUAUGUGGGAUCACAAGGUUUUCAAGGGACCGCGGUACAGAUUACGUUCAGCUCAGCGGGAGCUAGAUAUGCUCAUGAGAGAGCCAUAUAGUUCAGAGGUGAAGGCAAAACAGCAGGAUCUCUCGAUGUUGAUAGAGAAUCUCCUAGAGCAGGAGGAGAUAUACUGGGCCACCGUGGUCACGCGAACUGAUUGCGCCGCGGUGAUCGUAACACCAGAUCUUUUAACUAGUUUGCCUCGGCCCGUAGACGCCGUAACUUGA